rnacentral:lncRNA from 1 species
AAAGAAGAGUGUAAUUAUUGUUCUAAACAUUAUGGGCUUCAACGAUACCCAAACACAAAACGGGCUUCAUAAGAUAAUAUAGUGAGCCCAUUAGUCAUAUAAAUUCAGUGUUUCGUAGCGAAAAUAAAAUAAAAAAAUAGAAACCUAUAUCGGAGCUUCUUCACUGACCUUGGAAGAGAACUGUGUAACAACGUCUCCAACUUAUUUCCCUCGUCUUUCCAUUUUUAUUUAUUUUUAAGUUUCAAUUUUACUUCUUCUUCUCCGAUUUUAGACAAUCGGAGCUUUUUUAAUCCUCUCUUCACUGUCUCUCAAUGAUCUAGAUAAGAUUUGAAAUUGAGGAUUUAGGGUUAUUUUAUUUGGAAGCUGCGAUCGCGAAUCCUUGCCAUGAACCCAAUUACUAAUUUUGUACAAUUUGAAUUUUCUUCUCUGUUUCUGUUUAGCAUGAAUUCAAUUUCUUGCUGUAAAGUGUAGCAGUGGGAUCUCUACUAAGCAGAGAUAUGAAAAAGGUACAUUUGUACAUUGCAUUGUUUUAAGAGGUUAAUGUGCAUUGCAUUUGUUUGCUUCAUUCUUACAUAAAAAGCAUAGCAAAAUCUGAGCCUUUAAAUCAAGCUCUAAUCAAAACUGUUUUGCCUGCUAAUUUCUAAAGCUGAAAACUUUAUGUCACUUGAAUGAGUUUUUAUAUUGGCUACAUUUUAUCUCCUUUAUCAGAUUCCCUUGACUAAGAUAGUCCAAACAUAUGCUUUAGAAUCUUGUUUGUGUUUGAUUCAUCUGGCGAGUAGAAACUUAAGCAUCGAUGUUGCAUUUUUGCCAUGUUCAGGUGACUGGAAUCAGCAUUGGUAAAGCGCAGUUAUAGUUUCAUUCAUUAACAGGCUGAAGAGUCCAUCCUCGAUUUGCACGGCAACCUCUUCCUG